GACGAACGCUGGCGGCGCGCCUAACACAUGCAAGUCGAGCGAGAACCAGAGCUUCGGUUCUGGGGAAAGCGGCGAACGGGUGAGUAACACGUGGGUAAUCUGCCCUCGGCGCCGGGAUAGCCCGGGGAAACCCGGAUUAAUACCGGAUGGCCUCUCGCGCUCUCGGGCGCGAAAGAAAAGGUGGCUUCGGCUUCUGGCCGAGGAUGAGCCCGCGGCCGAUUAGCUUGUUGGUGAGGUAAUGGCNCACCAAGGCUCCGAUCGGUAGCUGGUCUGAGAGGACGAUCAGCCACACUGGGACUGAGACACGGCCCAGACUCCUACGGGAGGCAGCAGUGGGGAAUCUUGCGCAAUGGGCGAAAGCCUGACGCAGCGACGCCGCGUGCGGGAAGAAGGCCUGGUGUAAG
rnacentral:rRNA from 1 species